rnacentral:rRNA from 1 species
UAUAAUACGAGCUUGUUGUUUCACACUCGAACAAAACUUUCAACAACGGAUCUCUUGGUUCUGGCAUCGAUGAAGAACGCAGCGAAAUGCGAUAAGUAAUGUGAAUUGCAGAAUUCAGUGAAUCAUCGAAUCUUUGAACGCACAUUGCGCCCUUUGGUAUUCCGAAGGGCAUGCCUGUUCGAGCGUCAUUUCACCACUCAAGCCUGGCUUGGUAUUGGGCGUCGCGGUUCUUCGCGCGCCUUAAAGUCUCCGGCUGAGCUGUCCGUCUCUAAGCGUUGUGGAUUUUUCAAUUCGCUUCGGAGUGCGGGUGGCCGCGGCCGUUAAAUCUUUAUUCAAAGGUUGACCUCGGAUCAGGUAGGGAUACCCGCUGAACUUAAGCAUAUCAAUAAGCGGAGGAAAAGAAACCAACAGGGAUUGCCCUAGUAACGGCGAGUGAAGCGGCAACAGCUCAAAUUUGAAAUCUGGCGUAAGCCCGAGUUGUAAUUUGUAGAGGAUGCUUCGGGGUAGCGGCCGGUCUAAGUUCCUUGGAACAGGACGUCAUAGAGGGUGAGAAUCCCGUACGUGACUGGCUUGCACCCUCCACGUAGCUCCUUCGACGAGUCGAGUUGUUUGGGAAUGCAGCUCUAAAUGGGAGGUAAAUUUCUUCUAAAGCUAAAUACCGGCUAGAUACCGAUGCG